rnacentral:rRNA from 1 species
CCUACGGGAGGCAGCAGUGGGGAAUAUUGGACAAUGGGCGAAAGCCUGAUCCAGCCAUGCCGCGUGAGUGAUGAAGGCCCUAGGGUUGUAAAGCUCUUUUGUGCGGGAAGAUAAUGACGGUACCGCAAGAAUAAGCCCCGGCUAACUUCGUGCCAGCAGCCGCGGUAAUACGUAGGGCGCGAGCGUUGUCCGGAUUUAUUGGGCGUAAAGAGCUCGUAGGCGGCUUGUCGCGUCGACUGUGAAAACCCGCGGCUCAACCGCGGGCCUGCAGUCGAUACGGGCAGGCUAGAGUUCGGUAGGGGAGAGUGGAAUUCCUGGUGUAGCGGUGAAAUGCGCAGAUAUCAGGAGGAACACCGGUGGCGAAGGCGGGUCUCUGGGCCGAUACUGACGCUGAGGAGCGAAAGCGUGGGGAGCGAACAGGAUUAGAUACCCCAGUAGUC